GAUGAACGCUGGCGGCGUGCCUAAUACAUGCCAGUCGAGCGAACAGACGAGGAGCUUGCUCCUCUGACGUUAGCGGCGGACGGGUGAGUAACACGUGGAUAACCUACCUAUAAGACUGGGAUAACUUCGGGAAACCGGAGCUAAUACCGGAUAAUAUAUUGAACCGCAUGGUUCAAUAGUGAAAGACGGUUUUGCUGUCACUUAUAGAUGGAUCCGCGCCGCAUUAGCUAGUUGGUAAGGUAACGGCUUACCAAGGCAACGAUGCGUAGCCGACCUGAGAGGGUGAUCGGCCACACUGGAACUGAGACACGGUCCAGACUCCUACGGGAGGCAGCAGUAGGGAAUCUUCCGCAAUGGGCGAAAGCCUGACGGAGCAACGCCGCGUGAGUGAUGAAGGGCUUCGGAUCGUAAAACUCUGUUAUUAGGGAAGAACAAAUGUGUAAGUAACUAUGCACGUCUUGACGGUACCUAAUCAGAAAGCCACGGCUAACUACGUGC
rnacentral:rRNA from 1 species